UAAUUGUGAGAUCAAUUACCCUCUUUGUCGAGCAUACACAGGAUGUACCAGUCUUACCGAAAAUAUUGAUCCCCUACUCAAUGUUCCAUCGACUAGGAAUAUUUAAAAUUAGAGUUUUAAGGUUUUAGAUCUCACUUGGUAUGAUCGCAUCAUAACCCUAAAACCAUAGCCCUAAUUUAUGGGGUUCAUCAAAAUAAGAUGCAGCAUAUGAUGAACUAAAUGCCUUUAUUUAUUUAAAACAUCAGUACAUGAGUUGUCGGGAGACAAAAAUAUCCAUCUAUUUAUACAUUUUGAUUGGCUUAUAGGGCAUAUUCCUUUCAUAUUCUACGUCGCUACCAUCUUGUCUGAGAGAUCAUGGAUCGAGGUGACGUCGACCUUCAGAAGAUCGAUAGAAAGAAGAACCUGACCUAUCCAUUAACAAAAGCCCU
rnacentral:lncRNA from 1 species